rnacentral:rRNA from 1 species
GACGAACGCUGGCGGCGUGCCUAAUACAUGCAAGUUGAGCGAUGAAGAUUGGUGCUUGCACCAAUUUGAAGAGCAGCGAACGGGUGAGUAACGCGUGGGGAAUCUGCCUUUGAGCGGGGGACAACAUUUGGAAACGAAUGCUAAUACCGCAUAACAACUUUAAACAUAAGUUUUAAGUUUGAAAGAUGCAAUUGCAUCACUCAAAGAUGAUCCCGCGUUGUAUUAGCUAGUUGGUGAGGUAAAGGCUCACCAAGGCGAUGAUACAUAGCCGACCUGAGAGGGUGAUCGGCCACAUUGGGACUGAGACACGGCCCAAACUCCUACGGGAGGCAGCAGUAGGGAAUCUUCGGCAAUGGACGAAAGUCUGACCGAGCAACGCCGCGGGAGGGAAGAAGGUUUUCGGAUCGUAAAACUCUGUUGGUAGAGAAGAACGUUGGUGAGAGUGGAAAGCUCAUCAAGUGACGGUAACUACCCAGAAAGGGACGGCUAACUACGUG